GAGAAGCUUGCUUCUCUUGAGAGCGGCGGACGGGUGAGUAAUGCCUAGGAAUCUGCCUCGGUAGUGGGGGAUAACGUUCGGAAACGGACGCUAAUACCGCAUACGUCCUACGGGAGAAAGCAGGGGACCUUCGGGCCUUGCGCUAUCAGAUGAGCCUAGGUCGGAUUAGCUAGUUGGUGGGGUAAUGGCUCACCAAGGCGACGAUCCGUAACUGGUCUGAGAGGAUGAUCAGUCACACUGGAACUGAGACACGGUCCAGAUCUCCUACGGGAGGCAGCAGUGGGGAAUAUUGGACAAUGGGCGAAAGCCUGAUCCAGCCAUGCCGCGUGUGUGAAGAAGGUCUUCGGAUUGUAAAGCACUUUAAGUUGGGAGGAAGGGCCAUUACCUAAUACGUGAUGGUUUGACGUUACCGACAGAAUAAGCACCGGCUAACUCUGUGCCAGCAGCCGCGGUAAUACAGAGGGUGCAAGCGUUAAUCGGAAUUACUGGGCGUAAAGCGCGCGUAGGUGGUUUGUUAAGUUGGAUGUGAAAUCCCCGGGCUCAACCUGGGAACUGCAUUCAAAACUGACUGACUAGAGUAUGGUAGAGGGUGGUGGAAUUUCCUGUGUAGCGGUGAAAUGCGUAGAUAUAGGAAGGAACACCAGUGGCGAAGGCGACCACCUGGACUGAUACUGACACUGAGGUCGCGAAAGCGUGGGGAGCCAACAGGAUUAGAUACCCUGGUAGUCCACGCCGUAAACGAUGUCAACUAGCCGAUUGGGAGCCUUGAGCUCUUAGUGGCGCAGCUAACGCAUUAAGUUGACCGCCUGGGGAGUACGGCCGCAAGGUUAAAACUCAAAUGAAUUGACGGGGGCCCGCACAAGCGGUGGAGCAUGUGGUUUAAUUCGAAGCAACGCGAAGAACCUUACCAGGCCUUGACAUCCAAUGAACUUUCUAGAGAUAGAUUGGUGCCUUCGGGAACAUUGAGACAGGUGCUGCAUGGCUGUCGUCAGCUCGUGUCGUGAGAUGUUGGGUUAAGUCCCGUAACGAGCGCAACCCUUGUCCUUAGUUACCAGCACGUAAUGGUGGGCACUCUAAGGAGACUGCCGGUGACAAACCGGAGGAAGGUGGGGAUGACGUCAAGUCAUCAUGGGCCCUUACGGCCUGGGCUACACACGUGCUACAAAUGGUCGGUACAGAGGGUUGCCAAGCCGCGAGGUGGAGCUAAUCCCAUUAAAACCGAUCGUAGUCCGGAUCGCAGUCUGCAACUCGACUGCGUGAAGUCGGAAUCGCUAGUAAUCGCCGAAUCAGAAUCUCGCGGUGAAUA
rnacentral:rRNA from 1 species